CAUUUUCUUCUCUUCGCUUCUUCUUUCUUCUUCCCUGUUCUCUCUCUUCCUCUCUGUAAAUUUCGAGCUCAUAGAUUGAGCCUCUUCUGCCGAGAAAUUCUUAUAAACCUUGUUAGCUUGAUGAACUGAGUGAGGAGAUGAUGAUGAUGAUGCUGUCGAUGGAGUUUUCGGGAGAAACAGAAGUUAGGGCUUCAGCUGAUUUUGAGGUUGUGUAGAACUGAUGAUGAUUUAAUGUUGCUGAUUGACGAAGAACAGAAGGGUUGUGAUUGAAUUGAUGAUCUGAAGUUGUUCUAAUGAUGAAUUAAAGCUAGGGUUUCAUGUUCUUCCCAAAUCAGGUAAUUUAGGGUUCUUUCGAAUUGAAGAUUAAAUCGAGUGUUUUUUAUUGAUUAAUUGGGUUAUUAAAGAUGGGUUUUAAUUAGGUAAGAAGUAGAAUUGUUUGUUUGAGUUCAUUUUUUGAUUUCAUGGAGAAUUAGGAUUUCCUGAGUUGAUUUGGAGUCACUGAUUUUAGACUCUUUAGGAAAGAAGUUAAAUUAGGGAUUUUAAUGAAGUUCUGGAAUUGGGGGAAGAAUAAAGGAACUCAGAGAGUAGGAGUUGAUGAAAUCCAAGUUGCAGACAAAUAAAAGAUUGAAGUAAGGAUUGUAUUGAUACUGAAAUGGUUGCUGAGUUGGUUUGAAUUGUGAUAAUGAUGAUGUUGGUGAAGUUGAGUUUUUGGUAGUGUUCUAGAUGAAUGUUAGGUGUUUGUGUUGAUGGAGGUAGUCUUAUCUGAGGUUGUAGAUCUAUUAAAGAAUGAGGAAUUGAAGGAUGUUCUUGAACUACAGAGUUGGUGGUUGUAUUGAAAUCGGGUGGUGAUGGAAUUGCCGUUGGUGGUGGUGGUUUAGUAUAGCACAUGAAUUUGGAGAUGGUGUUGAUACUAGUUUGGUUACUGAUGCAGGACAUGACAGGGUAGUUGAUGUUGAACUGGUAGGAGUUGCACAUAGUUUGUUAGGUGCAGGGGAAGAGUCGGGUUGGUGAUGAAUUUGUGAAAGACACCAGUAGAGCAAAGAUUGAGCGGUGUUGAUGCAAUGGAAAUCGUAGUUGAGUCAGUAAGGCAGUCACAUAUAAUACCAAGAAGGUUGAGAAAGAUAAAUUGAUAUCAUUGUUAGAGGUUGUGGCUGGAGCUAAAGGUGUCUGAGUUGAGGUUAGAUUGUGGCGGAGUUGAGGAUGAAAUGGUUAUGUAAACUGAAUCUAGUGGGUCUGCAAUGUGAAGCUGGGUUGGUAAUGAUGUUUUUGUGAAGGUAAAGUGGGUUGAUCAAUACAAGGUUUUGGGUAUGAGGAUGUUAAAUCUGCAGGAUGAAGAUUUAAGUUACUAUGGCGGGUUGCAUGAACUUUUGAAGUGAAGCCUGGUGCUUUUGUUGCCAGUAUUGGGAAUUGCAAGGUGAAAGGAAAUGAACUGGAAAUGGAGAUGUUUGAAUCUGUCAAGAAGAAAUAAAGCUAAUGAUAUUACUGUUGAAAUAUUAGUUGAAAUGAAGAUAGCUUGCAAACACAAUUUCAUGGAAGGAAUCGGAAACCAUCGACAUACAUGAACUCAUAUUGAAUCCAAUCAACACAAUUGGAAACAAAAGCUUAGAGAGAAAUGUCUGAAAAGAAUUCAAGAAGAUAGAAAUCACUUUCUUUGGAAAAUGAGAUUACCUUCUUCUUCAGAAACACCUCCAUCACUUAAUCAAAAGGUAUUUCUUUCUUUAAAAUUGGUUUGUGGGUUUAGUUGAGAUUGCGGCAGUUGCCACUAUGACCUACUUGCGCCACUGUAUAGUGAGCAUGUUUAGAAAAUUUUGUGUAGAGAUGUUGGAUUAGGUCAAUUAUGUAAGUGUUAUUGUAUAUGGAUUGAACUGAUUCAAUAUGAGAACCUGUGGAUGGUUUUACGCAAAUAAGAUAGAUGGAAAAAUUGAAGCAUAGGAGUUUAAUACUGUAAAACCUAUGGGGAAAGAUUCGGUUUGUUCAUGUAUAGGCUAUUUAACAUGUUGAAAUUCACAUGAGAUAGAGUUGAUGGCUAUGAUGGCUAUUUUGCGGUUCUGUGAAAGCAUCUCUAUCUUGGAACUGGAAUGGCCACACACUGACAGUAGGCUUAUAAGCUGCAAUACGAUCAUCCAUUGGGAGGAAGUGUAUUAAACAUUAUGAAUCUUAGAAUUCAUGUGUCGGUCCAUAUUUGAAUCUGUUUCAUAUAAAGCUAAUGUAAAUCCUAUUGACCUUGUCUAUUAACCUUUGGGCAAGAACAAUUUUAUAUUGCAUAACCUGUCAUGCAGUCGAGAAAAUGACUGCAUAACAUGUUAUGCAGUUGUGAAAAUGACUG